rnacentral:rRNA from 1 species
AUACGUAGGGGGCGAGCGUUGUCCGGAAUGAUUGGGCGUAAAGGGCGCGUAGGCGGCCCGGUAAGUCUGGAGUGAAAGUCCUGUUUUUAAGCUGGGAAUUGCUUUGGAUACUGUCGGGCUUGAGUGCAGGAGAGGUAAGUGGAAUUCCCAGUGUAGCGGUGAAAUGCGUGGCGAUUGGGAGGAACACCAGUGGCGAAGGCGACUUCCAGGACUGAACCUGGCGUUGAGGCCCGACCUUGUGGGCAGAAAACAGCAUGAGCUGCCCGGGUGCUCCACGCCGUAAACGAUGAAUACUAUGUGUGGGUGGGACACACCCCAUGCGUGCCGCAGCUAACGCAAUAAGGAUUCACCCUGGGGAGUAAGGCCGCAAGGCUGAAACUCAAAGGAAUUGACGGGG